rnacentral:rRNA from 1 species
UGGGAAUAUUGCACAAUGGGGGAAACCCUGAUGCAGCGACGCCGCGUGGAGGAGAAGGUCUUCGGAUUGUAAACUCCUGUUGUUGAGGAAAAAGAGGAUGGUACUCAACAAGGAAGUGACGGCUAACUACGUGCCAGCAGCCGCGGUAAAACGUAGGUCACAAGCGUUGUCCGGAAUUACUGGGUGUAAAGGGAGCGCAGGCGGGUAUGCAAGUUGGGAGUGAAAUACAUGGGCUCAACCCAUGAACUGCUCUCAAAACUGUGUAUCUUGAGUAGUGCAGAGGUAGGCGGAAUUCCCGGUGUAGCGGUGGAAUGCGUAGAUAUCGGGAGGAACACCAGUGGCGAAGGCGGCCUACUGGGCACCAACUUGACGCUGAGGCUCGAAAGUGUGGGUAGC